GACGAACGCUGGCGGCGUGCUUAACACAUGCAAGUCGAACGGCAGCACGGACUUCGGUCUGGUGGCGAGUGGCGAACGGGUGAGUAAUGUAUCGGAACGUGCCCAGUCGUGGGGGAUAACGUCGUGAAAAUUACGCUAAUACCGCAUACGAUCUAUGGAUGAACGCGGGGGAUCGCAAGACCUCGCGCGAUUGGAGCGGCCGAUAUCAGAUUAGGUAGUUGGUGGGGUAAAGGCCCACCAAGCCAACGAUCUGUAGCUGGUCUGAGAGGACGACCAGCCACACUGGAACUGAGACACGGUCCAGACUCCUACGGGAGGCAGCAGUGGGGAAUUUUGGACAAUGGGCGAAAGCCUGAUCCAGCCAUUCCGCGUGCAGGAUGAAGGCCCUCGGGUUGUAAACUGCUUUUGUACAGAACGAAAAGGUUUCUACUAAUACUAGGAGCUCAUGACGGUACUGUAAGAAGAAGCCCCGGCUAACUCCGUGCCAGCAGCCGCCGUAAUAC
rnacentral:rRNA from 1 species